rnacentral:rRNA from 1 species
UACGUAGGGUGCGAGCGUUGUCCGGAAUUACUGGGCGUAAAGAGCUCGUAGGUGGUUUGUCGCGUUGUUCGUGAAAACUCACAGCUUAACUGUGGGCGUGCGGGCGAUACGGGCAGACUGGAGUACUGUAGGGGAGACUGGAAUUCCUGGUGUAGCGGUGGAAUGCGCAGAUAUCAGGAGGAACACCGGUGGCGAAGGCGGGUCUCUGGGCAGUAACUGACGCUGAGGUGCGAAAGCGUGGGGAGCAAACAGG